UACAGAGGUCCCAAGCGUUGUUCGGAUUCACUGGGCGUAAAGGGUGCGUAGGCGGUCGGGUAAGUCUGACGUGAAAUCUCCAAGCCUAACUUGGAAACUGCGUUGGAUACUAUCUGGCUCGAGGAAUGGAGGGGAGACUGGAAUACUUGGUGUAGCAGUGAAAUGCGUAGAUAUCAAGUGGAACACCAGUGGCGAAGGCGAGUCUCUGGACAUUUCCUGACGCUGAGGCACGAAAGCCAGGGGAGCAAACGGG
rnacentral:rRNA from 1 species